rnacentral:rRNA from 1 species
AUGGAGUGGGAUCACCAACAUGGAUGAAAGUUGAGACAAACACAUUCAGUAUUGUCCUCAAGUACUAGUCCAGUCUGGCGCAUUCUAUGGAAGCUGCGAGUACCGGAAAAAAUUAAAGUGCACGUGUGGCGAGCUUUGUAUGGAGCAAUCCCUUGCCGGGGUGUUUUGGCAAAUCGACAAAUGAUUACAACUUUGGACUGCCCAAUCUAUGAGUCAGACUGUGAGAGUGUUCGCCAUGCAUUCUUCAGUUGCCACAGGGUGCAGGAUAUUUGGACAAAGCUUGGCCUGAGUUCUACUAUAAACGAACUAUGUGAAAUUGAGUCGGAAGGAGCGUCGGUUCUAGGAUAUUUGUUGUUGAUGCCCAAUGGCACUGUCCCGUCGCUUCCGAAUGUAUCCAGGAAGGAGCUAGUGGCGGUCGCCAUGCAAGCUAAAAAGCAAUGAGGAGGGCGGAUCUAGAGGCAUGGAUGGACAAGACCAGCUGAAGGAUUCGUCAGUUUAAAUGUUGAUGCCUCUUUUGAUGCAGAUAGCGGCACCGGUGGAACGGGUGCCAUUAUACGGGACUCCACGGGUGUGUUCAUUGCGGCAUCGGCAUGCAACGUUCCCUUUGUCGAGGACGCAGCAAUUGCGGAGGCUAGAGGCCUCAAGGACGGGCUAAUCCUCGCGAACAAUAUUGGAUGCAACAAGGUGGAGAUCCGAGCUGAUUGUAUGGAGGUGAUUGAAAUCAUGCAACAUGGAGGGAAUUCCUUUGGUCCAGCUGCAACCAUCUAUGAGGAAUGUACCUUCUUAUGUCGUAAUUUUAUUUAUGUUUCUUUCUAUCAUUGCCCUAGGGAGGCCAAUAUGGCGACAGAUUUGCUGGCUACAAAGUCGAAGCACUCGAGAACUAUUGUAUGGCAGAACGAGGCUCCAGACUUUUUGCUUGAUGUACUCUCAAAUGAUGUAGCCCUUUUCCCACAAGAAAUAUAA